GAUCGGGAACUACCAACAUCACAGCACUGCUUCCCGUCCGCUCAGCGAAGUUAAGCAUGUUCGGGCCUGGUUAGUACGUUAGUACUACGGUGGGAGACCACGUUGGAAUCCCGGGUUUUGUUAUCU